GGUUGGAGAGAUGGCUCAGUGGUUAAGAGCACUGACUGCUCUUGCAGAGGUCCUGAGUUCAAUUCCCAGCAACCA
rnacentral:tRNA from 1 species